rnacentral:rRNA from 1 species
CGGUUAAGUUAGAAAGGGCGCACGGUGGAUGCCUUGGCACUAGGAGCCGAUGAAGGACGGGACGAACACCGAUAUGCUUCGGGGAGCUGUAAGCAAGCUUUGAUCCGGAGAUUUCCGAAUGGGGAAACCCACCACUCGUAAUGGAGUGGUAUCCAUAUCUGAAUACAUAGGAUAUGAGAAGGCAGACCCGGGGAACUGAAACAUCUAAGUACCCGGAGGAAGAGAAAGCAAAUGCGAUUCCCUGAGUAGCGGCGAGCGAAACGGGAUCAGCCCAAACCAAGAGGCUUGCCUCUUGGGGUUGUAGGACACUCUGUACGGAGUUACAAAGGAACGAGGUAGAUGAAGAGGUCUGGAAAGGCCCGCCAUAGGAGGUAACAGCCCUGUAGUCAAAACUUCGUUCUCUCCUGAGUGGAUCCUGAGUACGGCGGAACACGUGAAAUUCCGUCGGAAUCCGGGAGGACCAUCUCCCAAGGCUAAAUACUCCCUAGUGACCGAUAGUGAACCAGUACCGUGAGGGAAAGGUGAAAAGCACCCCGGAAGGGGAGUGAAAGAGAUCCUGAAACCGUGUGCCUACAAGUAGUCAGAGCCCGUUAACGGGUGAUGGCGUGCCUUUUGUAGAAUGAACCGGCGAGUUACGAUCCCGUGCAAGGUUAAGCAGAAGAUGCGGAGCCGCAGCGAAAGCGAGUCUGAAUAGGGCGAAUUGAGUACGUGGUCGUAGACCCGAAACCAGGUGAUCUACCCAUGUCCAGGGUGAAGUUCAGGUAACACUGAAUGGAGGCCCGAACCCACGCACGUUGAAAAGUGCGGGGAUGAGGUGUGGGUAGGGGUGAAAUGCCAAUCGAACCUGGAGAUAGCUGGUUCUCUCCGAAAUAGCUUUAGGGCUAGCCUCAAGGUAAGAGUCUCGGAGGUAGAGCACUGAUUGGACUAGGGGCCCCUACCGGGUUACCGAAUUCAGUCAAACUCCGAAUGCCGAUGACUUAUCCUUGGGAGUCAGACUGCGAGUGAUAAGAUCCGUAGUCGAAAGGGAAACAGCCCAGACCGCCAGCUAAGGUCCCAAAGUAUACGUUAAGUGGAAAAGGAUGUGGAGUUGCUUAGACAACCAGGAUGUUGGCUUAGAAGCAGCCACCAUUUAAAGAGUGCGUAAUAGCUCACUGGUCGAGUGACUCUGCGCCGAAAAUGUACCGGGGCUAAACGUAUCACCGAAGCUGCGGACUGUUCUUCGAACAGUGGUAGGAGAGCGUUCUAAGGGCUGUGAAGCAAGACCGGAAGGACUUGUGGAGCGCUUAGAAGUGAGAAUGCCGGUAUGAGUAGCGAAAGAGGGGUGAGAAUCCCCUCCACCGAAUGCCUAAGGUUUCCUGAGGAAGGCUCGUCCGCUCAGGGUUAGUCGGGACCUAAGCCGAGGCCGAAAGGCGUAGGCGAUGGAUAACAGGUUGAUAUUCCUGUACCACCUCCUCACCAUUUGAGCAAUGGGGGGACGCAGGAGGAUAGGGUAAGCGCGGUAUUGGAUAUCCGCGUCCAAGCAGUUAGGCUGGGAAAUAGGCAAAUCCGUUUCCCGUGAAGGCUGAGCUGUGAUGGCGAGCGAAUUAUAGUAGCGAAGUUCCUGAUUCCACACUGCCAAGAAAAGCCUCUAGCGAGGUGAGAGGUGCCCGUACCGCAAACCGACACAGGUAGGCGAGGAGAGAAUCCUAAGGUGAUCGAGAGAACUCUCGUUAAGGAACUCGGCAAAAUGACCCCGUAACUUCGGGAGAAGGGGUGCUCUGUUAGGGUGCAAGCCCGAGAGAGCCGCAGUGAAUAGGCCCAGGCGACUGUUUAGCAAAAACACAGGUCUCUGCGAAGCCGUAAGGCGAAGUAUAGGGGCUGACGCCUGCCCGGUGCUGGAAGGUUAAGAGGAGCGCUUAGCGUAAGCGAAGGUGCGAAUUGAAGCCCCAGUAAACGGCGGCCGUAACUAUAACGGUCCUAAGGUAGCGAAAUUCCUUGUCGGGUAAGUUCCGACCCGCACGAAAGGCGCAACGAUCUGGGCACUGUCUCAACGAGAGACUCGGUGAAAUUAUAGUACCUGUGAAGAUGCAGGUUACCCGCGACAGGACGGAAAGACCCCGUGGAGCUUUACUGCAGCCUGAUAUUGAAUGUUGGUACAGCUUGUACAGGAUAGGUAGGAGCCUUGGAAACCGGAGCGCCAGCUUCGGUGGAGGCAUCGGUGGGAUACUACCCUGGCUGUAUUGACCUUCUAACCCGCCGCCCUUAUCGGGCGGGGAGACAGUGUCAGGUGGGCAGUUUGACUGGGGCGGUCGCCUCCUAAAAGGUAACGGAGGCGCCCAAAGGUUCCCUCAGAAUGGUUGGAAAUCAUUCGCAGAGUGUAAAGGCACAAGGGAGCUUGACUGCGAGACCUACAAGUCGAGCAGGGACGAAAGUCGGGCUUAGUGAUCCGGUGGUUCCGCAUGGAAGGGCCAUCGCUCAACGGAUAAAAGCUACCCCGGGGAUAACAGGCUUAUCUCCCCCAAGAGUCCACAUCGACGGGGAGGUUUGGCACCUCGAUGUCGGCUCAUCGCAUCCUGGGGCUGUAGUCGGUCCCAAGGGUUGGGCUGUUCGCCCAUUAAAGCGGUACGCGAGCUGGGUUCAGAACGUCGUGAGACAGUUCGGUCCCUAUCCGUCGCGGGCGCAGGAAAUUUGAGAGGAGCUGUCCUUAGUACGAGAGGACCGGGAUGGACGCACCGCUGGUGUAUCAGUUGUUCUGCCAAGGGCAUCGCUGGGUAGCUAUGUGCGGACGGGAUAAGUGCUGAAAGCAUCUAAGCAUGAAGCCCCCCUCAAGAUGAGAUUUCCCAUUCCGCAAGGAAGUAAGAUCCCUGAAAGAUGAUCAGGUUGAUAGGUCUGAGGUGGAAGUGUGGCGACACAUGGAGCUGACAGAUACUAAUCGAUCGAGGACUUAACCAAUUU